AAUUCGAUUGAGUUUGAUCAUGGCUCAGGACGAACGCUGGCGGUGUGCUUAACACAUGCAAGUCAAGGACCGUAGCAAUACGGAACUGGCGCACGGGUGCGUAACGCGUAGGCAAUCUGCCCUUUGGGGGAAAACAACCCGUCGAAAGACGGGCUAAAAUUCCGUAACAUCACGAGAAGGCAUCUUUUUGUGAUCAAAUUUUCCAAAGGAUGAGCCUGCGUCUGAUUAGUUAGUUGGCGGGGUAACGGCCCACCAAGACGACGAUCAGUAGCUGGUCUGAGAGGAUGAUCAGCCACAUUGGGACUGAGAUACGGCCCAGACUCCUACGGGAGGCAGCAGUGAGGAAUAUUGCUCAAUGGAGGAAACUCUGAAGCAGCAACACCGCGUGAGGGAUGAAGGAGCUUUGCUUCGUAAACCUCUGUAGUCGGGGACAAAUGGAUGGUUACUACCAUCGUGAUGGUACCCGAAAAGUAAGGAACGGCUAACUACGUGCCAGCAGCCGCGGUAAUACGUAGGAUCCAAGCGUUGUCCGGAUUUACUGGGUGUAAAGGGUGCGCAGGCGGAUUAGUAAGUCAGAGGUGAAAUCUCGUCGCUCAACGACGAAACUGCCUUUGAUACUAUUAAUCUUGAGUACGGUAGAGAUUUGUGGAAUUCCGAGUGUAGCAGUGAAAUGUGUAGAUAUUCGGAAGAACACCAGAGGCGAAGGCAGCAAAUUGGGCCGAUACUGA
rnacentral:rRNA from 1 species